AAGCAAAGGAACCAAACAUGCUUGCUUGUCCUCUGACCUUGCUAGGCUAGGGUGGGCAAGAAAACCAAACAUAUCCUCAAUUGUUUUAUCUCUUGUCGCCAUCUUAAUUGCAAUCACACCAUGUUCAUAGAGGAUGCCCUGGUUCAAUUUUCCAUGUAAUUAAAACAUUAUUAUUCUACCUUCAGGCCUCCUUCACUCGUGCAAAGAAAUGGAUUCAAGAACUUCAAGCCCAAGGAAACCCAAAUACAAUAGUGGCUCUUGCUGGCAAUAAGGCCAAUAUGCUAGAUGCAAGGCAGGUGCCAACAGAGGAAGCAAAUACAUGCGCAGGAGAAUGGGCUCUUCUUCAUGGAGACAUCUGCUAAAACUGCAAUCAAUGUGAAUG